rnacentral:rRNA from 1 species
CUAAGAAUCUUCCGCAAUGGGCGCAAGCCUGACGGAGCGACGCCGCGUGGGCGAAGAAGGCCGAGAGGUUGUAAAGCCCUUUUUUCACAGAAGAAUAAGGCCUCGAGGUAAUGCGAGGCUGAUGACGUUAUGUGAGGAAUAAGCUCCGGCCAAUUACGUG